AUGGCGGCGGCGCUGGGCGCCUAGGCCGGCGGGGGCCAUGAGCGCCGCCCGGCCCCAGUUUAGCAUCGAUGAUGCCUUCGAGCUGACCCUGGAGGACGCGGGGCCUGGGCCCGAGUCCAGCGGGGUCGCCCGCUUCGGGCCGCUGCACUUCGAGCGCCGGGCUCGGUUCGAGGUGGCUGAUGAAGACAAGCAGUCCCGGCUACGCUACCAGAACCUGGAAAAUGAUGAGGACGGAACCCAGGCCUCUCCGGAGCCAGAUGGGGGAGUCAGCACCAGGUCAGGGCCAGCCAGCCCCAGCUCCCUGCCUGCUUCACCUCCUUGACCUCCAU
ensembl:processed_transcript